UAAGUAGGGUGCGAGCGUUAAUCGGCAUUACUGGGCGUAAAGCGUGCGCAGGCGGAUUGUUAAGCAAGAUGUGAAAUCCCCGGGCUUAACCUGGGAAUGGCAUUUUGAACUGGCAGUCUAGAGUGUGUCAGAGGGGGGUGGAAUUCCACGUGUAGCAGUGAAAUGCGUAGAUAUGUGGAGGAACACCAAUGGCGAAGGCAGCCCCCUGGGAUAACAAUGACGCUCAUGUACGAAAGCGGGGGUAGCACACAGGAUUCGAUAACCGGGUAGUCC
rnacentral:rRNA from 1 species